UACGUAGGGCGCAAGCGUUAUCCGGAAUUAUUGGGCGUAAAGAGCUCGUAGGCGGUUUGUCGCGUCUGCCGUGAAAGUCCGGGGCUCAACUCCGGAUCUGCGGUGGGUACGGGCAGACUAGAGUGAUGUAGGGGGGACUGGAAUUCCUGGUGUAGCGGUGAAAUGCGCAGAUAUCAGGAAGAACACCCGUGGCUAAGGCGGCUCUCUAGUACGGUACUGACGCUGAGACGCGAAAGCGUGGGGAGCGAACAGG
rnacentral:rRNA from 1 species